UCGCUCGCACUUCCACGCUUUGAGGACUCGCGCUGUUCUCUCCACUGUCUUACAGACCUGCUCUGACCGUUACGACCGCCCGCACGCCGCGCCGACCCGCUCAGCUCGCCCGCGAACCUUUUCAUCUUAUCGACUCGCUUCGACCCAGAUCGCUAGUACAGGAGCGUCCGAGUCGCACACAGGCUGCUGCAGGCCCACAGGAGGACAUAGUGCUCGAGCGAAGGCGCCUACGUCCCGUUCGGUCAGACUUGCGUACGGCAAGUCGAGUAACGUGUCAGCUGGCGUCUCCUCGAAAUGCUGUUCUACUUGGCGUUUCCUUCGAUUUCUUGGCGCGCUCUGUCUUCCAUGCCGCACGUCACAAUGUUGUCGCAAUGCAUCACACCGUCCAAACG
rnacentral:misc_RNA from 1 species